AGAUAUAUUAAGCAUUUAUACAAUAAGGAAUAGUAAGUCAGCAUAUCUGGAGUCAUUUCUAUUUUGUUGCAUUAGAUGUGUAGAAAUUAUGAUAGGCAAAAUGGAAAAAAGCCCCAUCUGUACUUUAAAAUAUGACACAAUGUGUGCACUUAAAUAGAAAAUGUUACAUUAUAGUGGGCUAAAUACAUGCAGAAGUGCCAACAGGCAUUGGC